UACACUCCUACGGGAGGCAGCAGUGGGGAAUAUUGCACAAUGGGCGCAAGCCUGAUGCAGCCAUGCCGCGUGUAUGAAGAAGGCCUUCGGGUUGUAAAGUACUUUCAGCGGGGAGGAAGGCGAUAAGGUUAAUAACCUUGUCGAUUGACGUUACCCGCAGAAGAAGCACCGGCUAACUCCGUGCCAGCAGCCGCGGUAAUACGGAGGGUGCAAGCGUUAAUCGGAAUUACUGGGCGUAAAGCGCACGCAGGCGGUCUGUCAAGUCGGAUGUGAAAUCCCCGGGCUCAACCUGGGAACUGCAUUCGAAACUGGCAGGCUAGAGUCUUGAGAGGGGGGUAGAAUUCCAGGUGUAGCGGUGAAAUGCGUAGAGAUCUGGAGGAAUACCGGUGGCGAAGGCGGCCCCCUGGACAAAGACUGACGCUCAGGUGCGAAAGCGUGGGGAGCAAACAGGAUUAGAAACCCGUGUAGUCCC
rnacentral:rRNA from 1 species